GACGAACGCUGGCGGCGUGCUUAACACAUGCAAGUCGAACGAAGUGGCGAACGGGUGAGUAACGCGUAAUCAACCUGCCCUUCAGAGGGGGACAACAGUUGGAAACGACUGCUAAUCCCGCAUACUGAAGGAGGGGAUUGCGUCUGAUUCGGUAGUUGGAGGGGUAACGGCCCACCAAGGCGAUGAUCAGUAGCCGGUCUGAGAGGGGGAACGGCCAAAUUGGGGAUGAGACACGGCCCAGACGCCUACGGGAGGCAGCAGUGGGGAAUCUUCCGCAAUUGACGAAAGUCUGACGGAGCAACGCCGCGUGAGUGAUGACGGCCUUCGGGUUGUAAAGCUCUGUUAAUCGGGACGCGGUACCGGAAUAGAAAGCCACGGCUAACUACGUGCCAGCAGCCGCGGUAAUUC
rnacentral:rRNA from 1 species